rnacentral:rRNA from 1 species
AUUGAACGCUGGCGGCAGGCCUAACACAUGCAAGUCGAGCGAGCGGCGGACGGGUGAGUAACGUAUGGAGACUGUCCGAUAGAGGGGGAUAACUACUGGAAACGGUAGCUAAUACCGCAUACUAUCGGAUAACCCAUAUGGGAUUAGCUAGUAGGUGAGGGAAUGGCUCACCUAGGCGACGAUCCCUAGCUGGGCUGAUAGGAUAAUCAGGCACACUGGUACUGGUAAACGGACCAGGCUCCUACGGAGGCAGCAGUGGGGAUUAUGGCACAAUGGGCGCAAGCCUGGUGCAGCCAUGCCGCGUGUGUGAAGAAGGCCCUAGGGUUGUAAAGUACUUUCAGUCGGGAGGCGUUACCGACAGAAGAAGCACCGGCUAACUCCGUGCCAGCAGCCGCGGUAAUAC